CGGGGGGGCGUUUACCACGGUGUGGUCCAUGACUGGGGUGAAGUCGUAACAAGGUAACCGUAGGGGAACCUGCGGUUGGAUCACCUCCUUACGAAGA
rnacentral:rRNA from 1 species